AUUGAACGCUGGCGGCAGGCCUAACACAUGCAAGUCGAGCGGAGCGCCGGACGGGUGAGUAAUGCCUAGGAAUCUGCCUGGUAGUGGGGGAUAACGUCCGGAAACGGGCGCUAAAACCGCAUACUAUCAGAUGAGCCUAGGUCGGAUUAGCUAGGUGGUGGGGUAAAGGGCUACCAAGGCGGCGAUCCGUAACUGGUCUGAGAGGAUGAUCAGUCAAACUGGGAAUGAGACACGGUCCAGACUCCUGCGGUGAGCAGCAGGGGGGAAUAUUGGACAAUUGGCGGAAGCCUGAUCCAGCCAUGCCGCGGGUGUGAAGAAGGUCUUCGGGUUGUAAAGCACUUUAAGGUGGGGGGCGUUUCCAACAAGAUAAACACCGGCUAACUUCGUGCCAGCAGCCGCGGUAAUUCC
rnacentral:rRNA from 1 species